AGGAGUGUCUUUUCAAUUAUGUGGUUCGAAUGCUUGUUUUGAGCUGGUUCUUUAUUGAAACAUACGCUGUUCUGUAUGUUGUACGCGUGAUUCUAAAGAAUGUAUGC
rnacentral:lncRNA from 1 species